CACGUAGGGACCAAGCGUUGUCCGGAUUCAUUGGGCGUAAAGAGCUCGUAGGCGGUUCGAUAAGUCGGGUGUGAAACCUCCAGGCUCAACCUGGAGACGCCACCCGAUACUGUCGUGACUAGAGUCCAGUAGGGGAGCGUGGAAUUCCUGGUGUAGCGGUGAAAUGCGCAGAUAUCAGGAGGAACACCAGCGGCGAAGGCGGCGCUCUGGGCUGGAACUGACGCUGAGGAGCGCAAGCGUGGGGAGCGAACAGG
rnacentral:rRNA from 1 species